ensembl:lncRNA
CCCUGGGAGUGGCCUGACAAGUGUCCUGUUCUUUCCCUCUCUGAUGCACACCCUGGAGGAUAUGAACCAUUGCGUGGUGUGUGUGCACAGGCUUCUCCAGGUAGCUGUUACCUUCUGAUGAACUAAAAAACUGGUGUGAUUCAGCAACCAACACAGAGCUAACACUGACAUGGAUCACCUGGCCCUGGUAGAAGAGCAAAACUGCAGAAACUAUCUGGCCAUAGACAUCUCCUGACCCAGUGCCUGAAGAGAUGUACACGUCAAAACAAAACAAAACACACCACUAAUAAAACAUCUGGACUCCUGUAUGUCAACUGGUCUUACAGAAGUGGUAUUGAUCUUAUGUGCCUCAGUAUGCAAUAUCACCUCUGAUGGAGAGAGAAGGUUGCUCACGGACAACAACCUUAACACCUCACACAGUCACAGGGGACCUCACCUGACAGCCAUGACUUUUCAAAUAUGAUGGAGAGUGCUUUACCAACCGCAUAAGACAGUUCCUUCAGGGACCUGGGAUGCACGUAACCUGGCCCCAUAAACUGUACACAUUCAGCCUCAUGAACUGGUCUUGUACUUGCUCUGCUUUCACAAUGGGAAGGAUUUCAGGAAUGCAAGAGACACAGGAAGUCUGACUGUUCUGUAACAUGAACA